AGAGUUUGAUCCUGGCUCAGAACGAACGCUGGCGGCGUGGAUAAGACAUGCAAGUCGAGCGCUGAUUGCAGGGUAGCAAUAUUCUGCAGUUGGAGCGGCGCAAGGGUGCGUAACACGUGGGCAAUCUGCCGUGAAGUCGGGGACAACUUGCUGAAAGGCGAGCUAAUACCGGAUGUAAAAAUUGGAAGGCAUCUUCUGAUUUUCAAAGUUGGGGACCGCAAGGCCUGACGCUUCAUGCUGAGCCCGCGGCCUAUCAGCUAGUUGGUGAGGUAACGGCUCACCAAGGCUAAGACGGGUAGCUGGUCUGAGAGGACGACCAGCCACACUGGAACUGAGACACGGUCCAGACACCUACGGGUGGCAGCAGUCGAGAAUUUUUCACAAUGGGCGAAAGCCUGAUGGAGCGACGCCGCGUGGGGGAUGAAUGGCUUCGGCCCGUAAACCCCUGUCAUUUGCGAUCAAACCUCAUCAUUUAAAAGAUGAUGAGCUGAUAGUAGCGAAAGAGGAAGGGACGGCUAACUCUGUGCCAGCAGCCGCGGUAAUACAGAGGUCCCAAGCGUUGUUCGGAUUCACUGGGCGUAAAGGGUGCGUAGGUGGCGGGGUAAGUCGGAUGUGAAAGCUCGGAGCUCAACUCCGAAAUGGCAUUGGAAACUACCUUGCUCGAGGGUUGGAGGGGGGACUGGAAUUCUCGGUGUAGCAGUGAAAUGCGUAGAUAUCGAGAGGAACACCAGUGGCGAAGGCGAGUCCCUGGACAACUCCUGACACUGAGGCACGAAAGCUAGGGGAGCAAACAGGAUUAGAUACCCUAGUAGUCC
rnacentral:rRNA from 1 species